UUCUGGCUCAGGAUGAACGCUGGCGGCGUGCCUAAUACAUGCAAGUCGAACGAAGCACCUCGGUGCUUAGCGGCGAACGGGUGAGUAACACGUGGGUAACCUGCCCUCAAGACGAGGAUAACCGUUGGAAACGAUGGCUAAGACUGGAUAGGAAUACGGGAGGCAUCUUCUGUAUUUUUAAAAGACCUGGCAACAGGUAUGCUUGAGGAGGGGCCUGCGGCGCAUUAGUUAGUUGGUGAGGUGAUGGCUCACCAAGACGAUGAUGCGUAGCCGGACUGAGAGGUUGAACGGCCACAUUGGGACUGAGAUACGGCCCAGACUCCUACGGGAGGCAGCAGUGGGGAAUAUUGGGCAAUGGGGGCAACCCUGACCCAGCAACGCCGCGUGAAGGAAGAAGGCUUUCGGGUUGUAAACUUCUUUGACGAGGGACGAUCGUGACGGUACCUCGAAAACAAGCCACGGCUAACUACGUGCCAGCAGCAGC
rnacentral:rRNA from 1 species